rnacentral:lncRNA from 1 species
CGGACAUCACUGCGCAGCGCACGCGCAAUAGCUCCAGAGAGGGACGUACCACCGCCAGUGGGAACGAACAUCAGAGAAUACCAAUGAACCAUCAUUUGCAAAUGGGACUUGCUGAAGGAGGAAGUUUGAAGUGCAAACCUCCAUCAACAUCCCAGGCACUGUGGGGUGCAAUGAGGAUAUGGCCAAGCUCCAGGCGUGCAGCUCUGAGAUAUACACACCUUACAUCGUCAGUACCCAAUGUUGAGGCAUAAAGGGCCUUCCAGAGUUGUCUUGAGUAUGUGGAAGUGGUACCUGGUAUCCUGAGGAUCUACUUGAUCCAACUUGCUGAGAAAGUUGCCACUGAGGAUUUGUUAUGGGCAUUCAAUUCGCAGUGAAAGUUACGCCAACUGAUGCCAGUGAGGAAAAGCAGAACUGCAGAAUUGCUGGAUUGGACAUGGGCUGUCAGAAGCCAAAGAUGACUGUAGUAUUUCUGCCCUGAUCAGCUAGAAGAAUGGAGUUGCCAGAUACCAAGAUAUGGAAGAAGGUACAAGGAACAG